GCCGGUGGGUCGAUGUUGCGCCGUCCGAACCACCAACUGGACCUCACGUGAGGCGAGCCAAAUGUUGGACCCGUCGGACGGGCAACACUCAAACCCAAACCCUCGCCUAGGACGUUCUAGAAAGCUUCGGCAGCCAUGGACGGAUUCCCCUCAUUCCCCAGGUCUGCGGAGGGCUCUGGUUGUUCCGUCCAGCUGGUGGUGGAAGAUGCCGGGAUGGAGUUCCUGCUUGAUGCCGUCGACUAGUUCCCGCUCUCGGGAGGAGUUCGCGGACAGCUUGGAACAUCCAGAUCUGGUUCCUCUGGUGGUGCUGCCGCGGCGUGAUGCAUCCCCUGUUACGCCGGCGGAUUCAAUGGUGGCUCCGGGUGCGGGCGACAUGAAGGGGUUGAUAUCCCAGGGAGGCCGCAUGGCGACGCUUGCCAGCCACGGCUGCCUUCUCCGACGCGGUAUGCGCAGUCCACAGACAGGAUCAACCCCGAAGCGCUGGGUUGGACAUAGAGAUUACGCGUCGUCGGGGGUGCACCGCAAGACAGAACGCCAUGUCCAUCCAGGAUGAGUGCGUUGGAGCAGUCAAUUCACAAGUACGCGGAGGAACCAACGCAGAGUGUGCUGGAAAUUGGUUUCGGGAUAAGGUACGGAAAGAGCCAGGUUAAAAACUUGAUGUGGACAAACGGGAGCAGCCGAAUGCAGUACCGUUUCUUUGGUGAUGUGGUCACAAUCGACACAACCUACAAGACUGUGCGACAUGCUGUUUGGGCUUUUCGUAGGGGUUAAGAACCAUUUUGAAAGCAUCAUCCUGGCUGGCGUAGUAAUGCGAGAUGAGCAGGUGGAGAGCUUCGAGUGGGUUUUUUCUGAAUUUAUACGUAAGAUGGGUGGACCGACACCUAAGACAAUCCUGACAGACCAGAACAGAGCUAUGGACGUGGCGAUCAACAAGGUUUACCCAGACAGUGUACACUGUUGGUGCAAGUGGCACAUUCUGAAGAACGCUAAGGAGAGCCUAGGCCCGCUGAAAAUGAGUGAGUUCCAAGCAGAGUUCUAUAAAGUUGUCACCCACAUACCGACUACAGAUGAAUUCGAGACGGCUUGGGGUAUGCUGCUCGAUCUGAACUGGCAGCAGAGGAAUGAAGGAUGUUGGGCUUGAGUUCCUGCUUGAUGCGGUGGACGGGAUGGUUUCCGAAGAUCUGCAAGUUUUUGAGAUUUUUUUUUGAGCUGGUAGAUCGCUAGAAGAAAUGCUUAGUAUGGGCCUCACCGUCGGCCAUAGCCGUCCUUUUCCCAGGUUUCCUCUACGGGAGGAGUUUGCCGAUAGCCUUGAGCACCCAGAUCCGGUGCCCCCCCCCCCCCCCCCCCCCCCCCCCCCCCCCCGCUUUGUUGCCGGAAAGUGAAUCCAACCGUGCCAUCCUGGCGGAGCCAAAUGCCGAGUCUGGUUGUGGGCAACAGGUUGGCAGUGGUGUCCCAGAUAAAGCACAGGGCGGGAUGCACAAGAGGCCACAAGGAUCACCAAACAAGGUCGGCGCAGUCAACUGACAGAGUCAACCCGGAGGCCCCUAGUUAGGAAAAAAAGGCCUGAACCAAAAUCAUCUCGUUGUUGAAUAUAAUUUGUUCCAACUGUCAGUUUGUUCAUGUCUGCUGUAAAUGUGUGACUCAACUUAGUGCAAUUCUGUGACAGUAUGAAUUAGUUAGCAGAACCAUGGCCUCUGAUCUGUGUAAGCAAACUGAUUACAACUGGCAGAAAGAACAGGCAUUAGACGAUUCGUAGUGUUGAACUAAAACUACUGGACUGAAUAUGUAUUUUUGGAAAAUUCAGGUUACGCCUCGGCAGUGCACCACCAGACCGGACACCAUGUCCCUCAUGGAUGAGUGUUGUGGAGAAGGCCUUGUGCAUGUGCUGAAGAAGGCUAAGGAGAGCUUGGUUCCCCUGUACACGAAGAAGAGUGACUUCCAAGCUGAAUUCCACAAGGUUGUCAACCACAUGUUAAGAAGACGAGUUUGGGAGGGCAUGGGAUAUGCUGCUGGAUAAGUACAACAUGAGGAAGCACCCAUACAUGACUUAGACCUACGAAAUCAGAAUGAAGUGGGCAAAACCAUACUUGAAAGGUGUUCUUUGCGCCAAGAUGACAAACACACAAGACAACGAGAGCGCGGAUCACAUGUUGAAGACAUCUCCUGCUAGCCCGAUGCACAUUUUCGUUAGGCAGUACAUGAGGUUGCAGAUUGACCAUGAGCGUGAGGAAAGCUAUGAGGAGAAGAGGACCAUGAUUGGUGGAGCUGUUAGGAGAACUAAUUUGGUAACAAAACGGCAUGCAAGCAAAAUUUGCACUAGGGCUAUGUUUGAGGAGUUCGGUCGUCUACUAAUUGAAGGAAUGGCUACAAUGUCACCGAGGUAGAGAAGAUGAGGAGGUAUGUGACAACAAACAAUAAUGCAGCAAAAAGCGAGAAAUGGAGCAGAGUUGUGUACUAGGUGACCGUAAGUGAGGACCAGUCAGAGUUUACGUGCGAGUAUGGACAAUUCGAGCACACUAUGAUGAUAUGCUGCCAUGUGCUAAAGGUAAAUUCCCAAUUCUUCGUCAUGUGGUGUCCAAAGCUUUGUUGUUAAGAGAUUUAGCGGUUAGUUUGAAAUUGAGGUCGGAGAAGAUACCGUUUUAAAACCUUGUUCUCCUGGCAUAGAUCAUGGAUAUACUUCAUCUAGAGGAGAUUCAUGUGAAGCAUAUUGUGAAACGGUGGACCAAGGAUGCGAGGGACAUACUUCCCAAGCACCUGAUUCAUUACCAGAAGGAUCAUUCAGUCAACAUGUCUUUCACCUGCAGGUACUCAACACUUUAUUUGAAAGCUAUGGAUGUCGUGCGGAUGGGCCAUGCAAGUGCAGAAUCAUUCAAGGAUGUGUUUGCUGGUCUGGAUGCUUUUUUAGUGAGUGGCGCACCAUUAGCAGAGAAGAGGAACGGUUUGGGUUCCGAGGACAGCUUGGCAAACUUGCCCGCUGGGAGAUUGCAUGGAAAUGGAGAGGUUGCCUUUGUUGGUGGCAAUGAUGCUGACCAUAGGGAUAGUGGUGGCCAAGGACUAGCACCUCCGGGCAAGCAGAGAGGGGCCGGGAGGCCGACGAACAGCAAGGGAAAACGCCUUGCGAGUGUCUGAGAACGAGGGCUAGGUUCUGUAGAAGGCCACAAGUGAACCACUUGCCCGGACAGGAGGCAUUCCCCCAAGAAACCACGAACGCCGGGGAAAUAAACUGUGGUAUGGAAGGCCAACGACGCAACACAUGCACAAGGGUGCUGGGCCUUGUUGGAAAUUGAGUUGUGAUAUUUAAGUUUGUGUUCUGUGUUCUUGUUCGGCUUGGAUUUUCUAGUGUGUUUCAGUGAGCAUUGCUCAAUAAUGGUUAUGUUCCGGCCAUACAAUGUUGUGGUUAUCUGCAUCUUAAAAAUGACUGAAUCUUCAUGGGUUGAUCCUUACAGUGCUAUCCUUGCUUGUAUUGCUGGCGAUACUUCUCCAUCGUGCCGGUUAUCAUUGCAUGCGUAAGUUCUUCAGUGUCCUGCGCGCACCGUGUUAUUUCGAAAUUUGAACUACUGGUUGAGUAAAUGUAACGUGAGUAAGACAGGUAGUUGGGGUGGCACCAUGUUAUUUCAAAAACUGAACUGCCGGUUGAUGAUAUACCUUCCUGGCUUCAGCAUUGUUGUAGAUUCAAAUCAAGAAGCCACGAGGGCACCUUUAAGAAAUUGCACCAUCGGAGGUCUGAAGGCGGUCGCUCCGGCGGCGGAUUAUAGUUUCAGACAGUUGUGGCUUCGUGUAUGGAGUCGGCGGCGAGCGCGUGGAGCAGGAACAAGCAAGCGGAGGUAGGCGGCCAGGUCGUCGACGAGGUGAAGUGUCAACUAUAGGUGGACGGCCGUUACGAAGACCGAGCGAGGAGACGGCUCGGGCCCGCACAGGAAAAUAACUGAGCCGUCCGAGACCUUGCUGGUCCGCACCUACAGUACGCGGGCCUGGGCUGGCCUUAUUUUAGUACGAUAUACAUUUAAAGACAUUAUAACUGCGCAGUUUUCCUACUCUCUCA